AGAAUAGACUACCCUGGUAGUCCACGCCCUAAACGAUAGCGAACUGGAGUGUUAGGGUUACAUUUACGGGUACGUCAGUGUCGAAAGCUUAAACGUACGUUAAGUUUCCGCCGGCCGUGGGGAGGUACGGUCGCAAGAACUGAAAACUACUAAAGGAAGUUCGACGGGGGCCCGACACGAAGGCGGUGGAGUAUGUUGGUUUAAUCCGAUGCAACGCGAACGUAACCUUACCUGGCCUUGACAUCUGUCGAAUCCUGCUAGUAGAUGGCGGGAGGUGCCGGCAAGGAACGGACAAGGACAGGUGCUGCAUGGCUGUCGUC
rnacentral:rRNA from 1 species